rnacentral:SRP_RNA from 1 species
GCAGAUCCUCCGUGCGGCAUUAACGUGCUGAACCCCCCAGGGCAGGAAUGCAGCAAGGGUAGGCCCGCUCUAAUGGGUGUGCGGGGGAUCCUAAAU